rnacentral:rRNA from 1 species
UGGGGAAUAUUGCACAAUGGGCGCAAGCCUGAUGCAGCCAUGCCGCGUGUAUGAAGAAGGCCUUCGGGUUGUAAAGUACUUUCAGCGGGGAGGAAGGGAGUAAAGUUAAUACCUUUGCUCAUUGACGUUACCCGCAGAAGAAGCACCGGCUAACUCCGUGCCAGCAGCCGCGGUAAUACGGAGGGUGCAAGCGUUAAUCGGAAUUACUGGGCGUAAAGCGCACGCAGGCGGUUUGUUAAGUCAGAUGUGAAAUCCCCGGGCUCAACCUGGGAACUGCAUCUGAUACUGGCAAGCUUGAGUCUCGUAGAGGGGGGUAGAAUUCCAGGUGUAGCGGUGAAAUGCGUAGAGAUCUGGAGGAAUACCGGUGGCGAAGGCGGCCCCCAGGACAAAGACUGACGCUCAGGUGCGAAAGCGUGGGGAGCAAACAGG